CCUACGGGUGGCAGCAGUGGGGAAUAUUGCACAAUGGGGGAAACCCUGAUGCAGCGACGCCGCGUGAGCGAUGAAGUAUUUCGGUAUGUAAAGCUCUAUCAGCAGGGAAGAAAAUGACGGUACCUGACUAAGAAGCCCCGGCUAACUACGUGCCCGCAGCCGCGGUAAUACGUAGGGGGCAAGCGUUAUCCGGAUUUACUGGGUGUAAAGGGAGCGGAGACGGCGGUGCAAGCCAGAUGUGAAAGCCCGGGGCUCAACCCCGGGACUGCAUUUGGAACUGUGCUGCUAGAGUGUCGGAGAGGCAGGCGGCAUUCCUCGUCUAGCGGUGAAAUGCGUAGAUCUUAGGAGGAACCCCAGUGGCGAAGGCGGCCUGCUGGACGAUGACUGCCGUUGAGGCUCGAACGCGUGGGGAGCACACAGGAUUAGAUACCCCUGUAGUC
rnacentral:rRNA from 1 species